UGGGGAAUAUUGCACAAUGGGCGCAAGCCUGAUGCAGCCAUGCCGCGUGUGUGAAGAAGGCCUUCGGGUUGUAAAGCACUUUCAGCGAGGAGGAAGGUGGUGAACUUAAUACGUUCAUCAAUUGACGUUACUCGCAGAAGAAGCACCGGCUAACUCCGUGCCAGCAGCCGCGGUAAUACGGAGGGUGCAAGCGUUAAUCGGAAUUACUGGGCGUAAAACGCACGCAGGCGGUUUGUUAAGUCAGAUGUGAAAUCCCCGGGCUCAACCUGGGAACUGCAUUUGAAACUGGCAAGCUAGAGUCUCGUAGAGGGGGGCUAGAAUUCCAGGUGUAGCGGUGAAAUGCGUAGAGAUCUGGAGGAAUACCGGUGGCGAAGGCGGCCCCCUGGACGAAGACUGACGCUCAGGCGCGAAAGCGUGGGGAGCAAACAGGAUUAGAUACCCCUGGUAGUCCACGCUGUAAACGAUGUCGAUUUUGGAGGUUGUGCCCUUGAGGCGUGGNUUCCGGAGCUAACGCGUUAAAGUCGACCGCC
rnacentral:rRNA from 1 species